rnacentral:rRNA from 1 species
GUUGACCUCGGAUCAGGUAGGGAUACCCGCUGAACUUAAGCAUAUCAAUAAGGCGG